rnacentral:rRNA from 1 species
AGCUUGCUUUCUUUGCCGGCGACCGGCGCACGGGUGAGUAACACGUAUCCAACCUGCCCUUUACUCGGGGAUAGCCUUUCGAAAGAAAGAUUAAUACCCGAUGGCAUAAUGAUUCCGCAUGGUUUCAUUAUUAAAGGAUUCCGGUAAAGGAUGGGGAUGCGUUCCAUUAGGUUGUUGGUGGGGUAACGGCCCACCGAGCCUUCGAUGGAUAGGGGUUCUGAGAGGAAGGUCCCCCACAUUGGAACUGAGACACGGUCCAAACUCCUACGGGAGGCAGCAU